rnacentral:rRNA from 1 species
GAUGAACGCUGGCGGCGUGCCUAAUACAUGCAAGUCGAGCGAACAGGUAAGGAGCUUGCUCCUUUGACGUUAGCGGCGGACGGGUGAGUAACACGUGGGUAACCUACCUAUAAGACUGGAAUAACUCCGGGAAACCGGGGCUAAUGCCGGAUAACAUUUAGAACCGCAUGGUUCUAAAGUGAAAGAUGGUUUUGCUAUCACUUAUAGAUGGACCCGCGCCGUAUUAGCUAGUUGGUAAGGUAACGGCUUACCAAGGCAACGAUACGUAGCCGACCUGAGAGGGUGAUCGGCCACACUGGAACUGAGACACGGUCCAGACUCCUACGGGAGGCAGCAGUAGGGAAUCUUCCGCAAUGGGCGAAAGCCUGACGGAGCAACGCCGCGUGAGUGAUGAAGGUCUUCGGAUCGUAAAACUCUGUUAUUAGGGAAGAACAAAUGUGUAAGUAACUGUGCACGUCUUGACGGUACCUAAUCAGAAAGCCACGGCUAACUACGUG